AUUGAACGCUGGCGGCAGGCCUAACACAUGCAAGUCGAACGAGUGGCGGACGGGUGAGUAAUGUCUGGGAAACUGCCUGAUGGAGGGGGAUAACUACUGGAAACGGUAGCUAAUACCGCAUACCAUCGGAUGUGCCCAGAUGGGAUUAGAUAGUAGGUGGGGUAAAGGCUCACCUAGGCGACGAUCCCUAGCUGGUCUGCGAGGGUGACCAGCAACACGGGAACGGAGACACGGUCCGGACGCCAACGGGAGGCAGCAGUGGGGAAUAUUACACAAUGGGCGAAAGCCUGAUGGAGCCAUGCCGGGUGUAUGAAGAAGGCCUUCGGGUUGUAAGGUACUUUCAGCGGGGAGGGGUUACCCGCAGAAGAAGCACCGGCUAACUCCGUGCCAGACGCCGCGGUAAUUC
rnacentral:rRNA from 1 species